rnacentral:rRNA from 1 species
GUAGGUGGCAAGCGUUGUCCGGAAUUAUUGGGCGUAAAGCGCGCGCAGGCGGUUCUUUAAGUCUGAUGUGAAAGCCCACGGCUCAACCGUGGAGGGUCAUUGGAAACUGGAGAACUUGAGUACAGAAGAGGAAAGCGGAAUUCCACGUGUAGCGGUGAAAUGCGUAGAGAUGUGGAGGAACACCAGUGGCGAAGGCGGCUUUCUGGUCUGUAACUGACGCUGAGGCGCGAAAGCGUGGGGAGCAAACAGGAUUAGAUACCCUGGUAGUCCACGCCGUAAACGAUGAGUGCUAAGUGUUAGGGGGGUUUCCGCCCCCCUUAGUGCUGCAGCUAACGCAUUAAGCAUCCGCCUGGGAGUACGGCCGCAAGGCUG